UAGCAAUACGGCAGCGGCAGACGGGAGAGUAACACGUGGGAACGCGCCCUUCGGUUCGGGAUAACCCAGGGAAACUUGGGCUAAUACCGGAUACGCCCUUACGGGGAAAGAUUUAUUGCCGAAGGAACGGCCCGCGUCCGAUUAGCUAGUUGGUGAGGUAACGGCUCACCAAGGCGACGAUCGGUAGCUGGUCUGAGAGGAUGACCAGCCUCACUGGGACUGAGACACGGCCCAGACUCCUACGGGAGGCAGCAGUGGGGAAUUGUUCGCAAUGGGCGCAAGCCUGAUCCAGCCAUGCCGCGUGGGUGAUGAAGGCCCUAGGG
rnacentral:rRNA from 1 species